UAGGCCCUUGGUGGUCCUCAUGUGGAU
rnacentral:piRNA from 1 species